CGAUAAUGGUUUAAUUGGUGUUAUUGUAUGGAGAAAACCUCAAAUAACGUCAACAGUAUCACCCAACUGGGCGUCACAACAUAAACACAAUUCAAAAAAGCAUCACUCCUUUUCUAGAAGACAAGAAAAGGAUGCUAAUGUCAAUGUGAAUGUCGCGCCUAAACAAGCCUUACCCUGUGUUGGGAUUCCUGCCUGUAUUAAACCUCAAUCUGAUGAGGAUGACGAUGAUGAUGUGCCUCCUGGGUU
rnacentral:misc_RNA from 1 species